CAGUAGCCGCGGGAACACGUAGGUGGCAAGCGUUGUCCGGAAUUAUUGGGCGUAAAGGGCUCGCAGGCGGUUUCUUAAGUCUGAUGUGAAAGCCCCCGGCUCAACCGGGGAGGGUCAUUGGAAACUGGGAAACUUGAGUGCAGAAGAGGAGAGUGGAAUUCCACGUGUAGCGGUGAAAUGCGUAGAGAUGUGGAGGAACACCAGUGGCGAAGGCGACUCUCUGGUCUGUAACUGACGCUGAGGAGCGAAAGCGUGGGGAGCGAACAGGAUUAGAUACCCCUGUAGUCCCUGUCUCUUAUAC
rnacentral:rRNA from 1 species